GGUUAUUUAAGGGGGGCUACAAAUUCUAGAACUAACAUGAUUUCUCUGCAUGUAUGUUUGUUUGCAUAAUGAGCCCCUUAUUUUUAUACUUGGACAAAAGUACUAUAAGCCCACUACACUUUUUCAUGAGAGUGGGAUGUAUGAUUGUUUAUAUGAUGAGCCCUUUAUUUUCAUAUUGGGACAAAAAGUCACUUCAUUCAAAACGUCAAACACCACAUUCUUUCUGCCCUGUGUGUUUGUUGCAGAGAAUUUAUGUUGUAAAUUUAGAAGAGAGCAAAAUUUAUAUUUUCAGCGUUCCAACACAUGCUUCAUUUUGUGCUGUAAGCUAACUUGUAGUACUCCAGUACGUCACAUGUUGUAUGUGCUUUAAAUUGUAUGUAUUCUGUAAAUUGUUGUAUGGGGUUGCUGAGAUUUUAUUGCUUGUGACCCAAACUGUGAAGAAGUGGGUUUGAAAUUUUG